AAGGUCGUAACAAGGUUUCCGUAGGUGAACCUGCGGAAGGAUCAUUACUGAGAUAGGGUCCUUCGGGGCCCGGACCCCGAACCCUUUGUCUACAUACCUCUGUUGCCUCGGUGGGUCGCCGGUGCCCUUUGCGGGGUACCGCCGUCGGCCUCGUGCUCUCGAGUGCCCGCCAAACAGGGCCCAAUUCAAAGCCCUUUUAAAGCGUAGUAAUCUGAGAGUAUAUCAAUACUUCAAAAG
rnacentral:misc_RNA from 1 species